rnacentral:pre_miRNA from 1 species
AUCAUACUCCCUCCGUCCCAAAAUUCUUGUCUUAGAUUUGUCUAAAUACGGAUAUAUCAAGUCAUGUUUUAGUAUUAGAUACAUCCAUAUCUAGACAAAUCUAAGACAAGAACUUUGGGACGGAGGGAGUAUGAU